rnacentral:rRNA from 1 species
UUAUAACCGGCGAUACCCGAAUGGGGAAACCCAGUGUGACUCGUCACACUAUCAUUAACUGAAUCCAUAGGUUAAUGAGGCGAACCGGGGGAACUGAAACAUCUAAGUACCCCGAGGAAAAGAAAUCAACCGAGAUUCCCCCAGUAGCGGCGAGCGAACGGGGAGGAGCCCAGAGCCUGAAUCAGCAUGUGUGUUAGUGGAAGCGUCUGGAAAGGCGCGCGAUACAGGGUGACAGCCCCGUACACAAAAGCGCAUGUGCUGUGAGCUCGAUGAGUAGGGCGGGACACGUGGUAUCCUGUCUGAAUAUGGGGGGACCAUCCUCCAAGGCUAAAUACUCCUGACUGACCGAUAGUGAACCAGUACCGUGAGGGAAAGGCGAAAAGAACCCCGGCGAGGGGAGUGAAAAAGAACCUGAAACCGUGUACGUACAAGCAGUGGGAGCACAGGUUUACCUGUGUGACUGCGUACCUUUUGUAUAAUGGGUCAGCGACUUAUAUUCUGUAGCAAGGUUAACCGAAUAGGGGAGCCGGAGGGAAACCGAGUCUUAAUUGGGCGUUAAGUUGCAGGGUAUAGACCCGAAACCCGGUGAUCUAGCCAUGGGCAGGUUGAAGGUUGGGUAACACUAACUGGAGGACCGAACCGACUAAUGUUGAAAAAUUAGCGGAUGACCUGUGGCUGGGGGUGAAAGGCCAAUCAAACCGGGAGAUAGCUGGUUCUCCCCGAAAGCUAUUUAGGUAGCGCCUCGUGAAUUCAUCUCCGGGGGUAGAGCACUGUUUCGGCUAGGGGGCCAUCCCGGCUUACCAACCCGAUGCAAACUGCGAAUACCGGAGAAUGUUAUCACGGGAGACACACGGCGGGUGCUAACGUCCGUCGUGAAGAGGGAAACAACCCAGACCGCCAGCUAAGGUCCCAAAGUCAUGGUUAAGUGGGAAACGAUGUGGGAAGGCCCAGACAGCCAGGAUGUUGGCUUAGAAGCAGCCAUCAUUUAAAGAAAGCGUAAUAGCUCACUGGUCGAGUCGGCCUGCGCGGAAGAUGUAACGGGGCUAAACCAU